rnacentral:rRNA from 1 species
ACGGGAGGCAGCAGUGAGGAAUAUUGGUCAAUGGGCGAGAGCUUGAACCAGCCAAGUCGCGUGCGGGACGAAGGCCCUACGGGUCGUAAACCGCUUUUAUACGGGAAUAAAGUGCGCCUCGUGAGGCGUUUUGCAGGUACCGUAGGAAUAAGGAUCGGCUAACUCCGUGCCAGCAGCCGCGGUAAUACGGAGGAUCCGAGCGUUAUCCGGAUUUAUUGGGUUUAAAGGGUGCGUAGGCUGUGCGUCAAGUCAGUGGUGAAAGCCCGGGGCCUAACUCCGGAACUGCCGUUGAUACUGGCGUGCUGGAAUACGGAUGCCGUGGGAGGAAUGAGUAGUGUAGCGGUGAAAUGCAUAGAUAUUACUCAGAACACCGAUUGCGAAGGCAUCUCACGAAUCCGUUAUUGACGCUGAGGCACGAAAGCGUGGGGAUCAAACAGGAUUAGAUACCCUGGUA